CCUCUUGUAGUUAAGUGGUCAGAGCAUUGGCGCGUAAAGCCAAAGGUCCCGGGUUCGAUUCCCGGCAAGGGUG
rnacentral:tRNA from 1 species